rnacentral:rRNA from 1 species
GCUGGCGACUAGCGCGACGGGGCCACACCCGUUCCCAUCCCGAACACGGCAGUUAAGCCCGUCAGCGCCGAUGGUACUAUGCGGGAGACCGCAUGGGAGAGUAGGCCGUCGCCGGCC